AAUAAAAUAUGAAGCUGUACGCGGCUGUGCUCUCGGGCCAGUUUUGCGGAGGCUGAAUUAUUUAUUACCCUUGUCUUUUGCGCACUUGUUGUUUCCUGGGCGGGUUCGCCCGCCACCAGGACCACAUCAUAAACCUUUUUUAUGCAGUUGCAAUCAGCGUCAGUAUAACAAAUGUAAAUCAUUUACAACUUUCAACAACGGAUCUCUUGGUUCUGGCAUCGAUGAAGAACGCAGCGAAAUGCGAUACGUAGUGUGAAUUGCAGAAUUCAGUGAAUCAUCGAAUCUUUGAACGCACAUUGCGCCCUUUGGUAUUCCAAAGGGCAUGCCUGUUCGAGCGUCAUUUGUACCCUCAAGCUUUGCUUGGUGUUGGGCGUUUUUUGUCUUUGGUUGCCAAAGACUCGCCUUAAAAGGAUUGGCAGCCGGCCUACUGGUUUCGCAGCGCAGCACAUUUUUGCGCUUGCAAUCAGCAAAAGAGGACGGCAAUCCAUCAAGACUCCUUCUCACGUUUGACCUCGGAUCAGGUAGGGAUACCCGCUGAACUUAAGCAUAUCAAUAAGCGGAGGA
rnacentral:rRNA from 1 species